GUUCAAACGAGGAAAGGCUUACGAUGGAUACCUAGGCACUGAGAGACGAGGAAGGGCGUAGUAAGCGACGAAAUGCUUCGGGGAGUUGAAAAUAAGUGUAGAUCUGAAGAUUCUCGAAUAGGUCAACCUUUCAAACUGCUGCUGAAUCCAUGGGCAGACAAUAGACAACCUGGCAAACUGAAACAUCUUAGUAGCCGGAGGAAAAGAAAAGAAAGCAAAAGCGAUUCCCACAGUAGCGGCGAGUGAAAUGAGAGUAGCCUAAACCGUGAAAACCGGGUUGUGGGAAAGUAAUAAAAGCGUCGUACUGCUAGGCAAACCGGUAAAGUGCCGAACCCUAGAUGGUGAAAGUCCAAUAGCUGAAAGCAUCACUAUCUUACGCUCUGACCCGAGCAGCAUGGGGCACAUGGAAUCCCGUGUGAAUCAACAAGGACCACCUUGCAAGGCUAAAUACUCUUGGGUGACCAAUAGCAAAGUAGUACCGUGAGGGAAGGGUGAAAAGAACCCCCGUCGGGGAGUGAAAUAGAACAUGAAACCGUAAGCUCCCAAGCAGUGGGAGGAGCCCAGGGCUCUGACCGCAUGCCUGUUGAAGAAUAAGCCGGCAACUCAUAGGCAGUGGCUUGGUUAAGGGAACCCACCGGAGCCGUAGCGAAAGCGAGUCUUCAUAGGGCAAUUUUCACUGCUUAUGGACCCGAACCUGGGUGAUCUAUACAUGACUAGGAUGAAGAUUGGGUGAAACAAAGUGGAGGUCCGAACUGACUGAUGUUGAAGAAUCAGUGGAUGAGUUGUGGUUAGGUGUGAAAUGCCACUCGAACCCAGAGCUAGCUGGUUCUCCCCAAAAUGCGUUGAGGCGUAACAGUUGACUGGACAUCUAGGGGUAAAGCACUGUUUCGGUGCGGGCCAUGAGAGCGGCACCAAAUCGAGGCAAACUUUCAAUACUAGAUAUGACCUCAAAAUAACAAAGGUUGAGGUCGGCCAGUGAGACGAUGGGGGAUAAGCUUCAUCGUCGAGAGGGAAACAGCCUGGAUCACCAACUAAGGCCCCUAAAUGACCGCUCAGUGAUAAAGGAGGUAGGGGUGCAGAGACAGCCAGGAGGUUUGCCUAGAAGCAGCCACCCUUGAAAGAGUGCGUAAUAGCUCACUGAUCGAGCACUCUUGCGACGAAGAUGAAUGAGGCUAAGCGAUCUGCCGAAGCUGUGGGAUGUAAAAAUGCAUCGGUAGGGGAAUGUUCUGUAGCGGCCCGAUUUUGGGCCUAGUCGGAACAGUGGUUUUGGGACCACUAUUUUGAGGCCAGAGAAAAUUAUUUUAGUAUUAUUUUAUGUAUUAUAAUGUGAAUUUAUAAGUGCAUGUAAAUUUUGGUAAGUUAAUUUUAGCAAUUUCUAGUCCAAUUCCGAAAAAGGACUAAAUCGCGUAAAAGGUAAAAGUUGUGUUUUGGUGCCUAAAGGUGUUUAAUAGCUAGAUAACUAAAAUUGGGGGCUUUAAAAUGGCAAUUAGACCCUUUUAUUGAGGUGGGAGGCCAAGGGAGACAAGAUUGGUUAAAAAGUCAUAUUUUAUGGGAUUUAAAGUGACUUUUUGGUUAAUAAAAUAAAUAAAGAAAAAGUUGUCAUUUUCUCUUUCAUUUUUUCUCUUCUCCUCCACCGAAAUAUGCAGCAAAGAAAGGGUUUUGAAGCUGGAAAAUUUCAGCAACAUAUUUCCCUUGCUUGUAAGUGAUUUUAAUGUCUUUGCUUGAUGAUUUUUACAUUUUUGGAAUCCCUAAAGCAUGAGCUUUCAUAAGAGGGGACUAUUUUGCAAAACGAUGAAGAGUAUAGGGUUUUGCCAUGAGAUUAAAUGUUUUUUUUCUGUGUUUUUAUGGAAGAUUAUGAGUCCUAGUUGUCUAAUAAACAACUUUUGUGAAAGAAAUUGCAUGAAAACACCUUAAAAAGGGCUAGAUUGCUAAGUUGUAAAAUGAGUUGAAAAUGUGUAAAAUAGUUGAAAUUAUGAGUUGCUAUAGUUAUGAAAAUGGUUCAUCUAGACUCAAGAAGUAAAGAAAUGUGAUAAAAAUUAUUUUACGAGCAUUGGGGCAAAAGUGCAAAUAUGAAAAAGUUUAGGGGUCAAAAUGAAAAUUUUUAAAAGUAUGAUUUUUAGACCCAUAUGAAUAUGGUGGCUGAUUGGUAGGCUAAAUGUGAUAUUAUAGAUCAAGGAAAUCGAGAUUUGGACCUAGAACAGAAAGAAAUCGAUUAAGGGAUGAUUAUGUCCUUUUUACCUUUGUGGUAUCAAGGUAAGUUGGUAUGUAAACAAUACCAUGCUAUACAUGUAUUUAAAUGUUAUCAUUACAUGAAUUGUAAAAAUCUUAAUGUGUAUGUGAUUAAUAGAAAUAUGAUGAGACAAAGCCUUAAUAGACGAGGAAAAAUCCCGUUUGAACCUUAGGAAUAGAAUAGGAUACGAGUGACAUGUCACUAGGAAUUAUGAGUCUAGAUGACUAGCUCGAGAGUGAGCAUUGAAAUGUCAUGGGAUAUGAGGUAGCUUUAGCUACAAUUGAGGUACUUAUGUGCAAAGGCUAUUCCAAGUGUUCAACGGGUAAUCCGAGGAAAGAGUUGAUGAUGGUCCCAAUGAGGUAAGUCAUUGGUGAGUAUGCACUUGAGUUAUGUUACGAGUUGUGCAAGUACGUAUACUAAGCCUAUGAGAAUGCCUUGAUAUGUGAUGAUCUAUGAUGCAUAAAAUGUGUUCUUACCAUGACGGAUGAAAUGAUGUUGUAUUAAUUUUGUGAACAAUGAUCAUGAAUGAGUAACUUAGCCUUGACAGAUUUGAGUUACUGCAGUAGUGUAACUUUGAAAAUACACUAAAAAUAGUGGAAAAUGAGUUAGAGAUAGAAUAAAAUAUGGGAUUAAAUCUUAAUGAGUCUAUUUUCACAUGAAAGAAAUAUGGGAGAAAAAGAAUUAUAUAUUGUGUGAUAUUUGAAUUCUUGUGAAAUAGGGUCUGAAUGAAUUCGAGAUCCCCUAUUCUAAAUUUAUAAAUUCACAAUAAAUUGUAGAAAAAUUAUGAAGAGUCAUACCUUACAUUCAUGGAUUUCUUAUUGAGUCUAUUUUUAAGGUAAAUAAACGACAUGGUCAUUGGAAUUAUGUACAGGGGUCAGAGUAGUCAUACCCUGAAAUAGGGAAGACUUUAACUAAUAAACUGUACUAAAUGAAUCGACCAAAAAUUCUGGAAAUUUUAUGGAAGAAUGAUAAAUGAGCCUAGUUUCAGGGAAAAUUUACGGAACUUAAUUUAGAGUUUUAUAGCUCCAGAGAUAAAUAAUUUAGUGACUGUUACUCAGGAAGACAUCUUACAAUGAAAUUAUGAUUAUGUGGUAAACAUUGACAAAAAUUUGUUAAUGAGUUGCUUAUUGAUUUCUUAUAAGCUUACUAUGAUCUGUAGGUGUGAAAUUAGAAUAUAUAUAUAUAAAUAUAUAUUAUAUUUUGAAAGUGAUGCUUGAAUAGUCGAAUAAUGACUAGUUUAAAGUUGUUGAAUUUAAGCUCAAGAGCAUAGAAGGGCAAAUUCGGAUAAGGGAAAAGAGAAAGUAAUCGAAUAGCCGUUGUAAUCGUACGACAACAUUCGAGGUAAGUUCAUAAGUAUAUAAAAAUGAUUGUGAGAUUGAAAUAUGUAAUAUGUGUAUUGGAUUUGAUGCACUACGUGUGCGAUAAAGGCAAUAACUACGACAUUUAAAAUGGCGCUGGGUGCGUGAGAUUGUAAUAGCAUUGGCUGAGUAAAUGGAACUAUGUGGGUGACACAGAUAUAAGUUCGGUUUAAUGUAAUGGCACUAAAUGUGCGAUAUAAUUAUAGCUUCGGCUAAUUAAUUGGCACUAAGUGUGCGAUACAAUUAUAGCUUCGGUUAAUUAAUUGGCACUAAGUGUGCGAAACCAUUAUAACUUCGGUUAAUUAAUUAGCACUAAGUGUGCAAGUUUGUUGAAUGUUCAAGGAUGAUUGAAUGAAUUAAUGUUUCGAGCAUUGAAAUGAUAAGCGUGACAGAUAAGAAGGUAAUGGUACAGGUAUGUACGAAACCUAUGUGGUGGAUGAUGUUAAGUAUGAAGUAGAUGAAAAUUUAUGUAAAUGAAUGGGGAAAUAUUAUUCGGGCCUUUGAGCCUAGCAGGCUAUAAUGUCGGUGAGAUACUAUUCGGGCUUUCGAGCCUAGCAGGCUAUAAUGCCGAUGAAAUGAUAUCGGGCCUCGAGCCUAGCAGGCGAAAUGCUGGUGAUUUGAGAAAAGUCUAAGACUAAGGUACCUCGUGUUAGAUUGACAAAUGAAUACAUUCAAUACGUUAAGAGGGCCAGGUACGCAUUAUGUACUCAUAUGUGAGUUUGAUUUGAAUUGAAUCAUAAGUGUGAUGUGAUACAUAUGUGAAUAAAUGUUAUAACUAUAUAUAUGACCAUGAUACAUUCGGUCAAGGUGUGAAAGUAUGUGAAAGUAUUUGAUUUAUUUAUGUUAUAUGAAUUCAGAUUAAGUGUUAUAAGAAUGCUGAAUGUGCAUUAUGUGCUUGUGUAUAUUCAGCCUGAUGGAAAUAUACUUAAAAUAUGGCCUCUUGAGAAAUUGAAUAAUCGAAGUAUAAUUGCAUUUAUUUGUUUGCAUUGCUUAAAACUUAUUAAGCUUAUAAAAGCUUACUCCGUUGCUACAUUCCUCUGUUUUAUAGAUUGUUGACUCCAGUUACCUGCUCGGGUUGGAGUUCGCCGGAGAUAUUAUCACACGUCGAGCUAACACUAUGGGUGUAGUGAUUUCAAAUACUUUGAGUCUAUGGCAUGUAUAGGUGUGUAAAUAUUAGAGUAUGUGAUCUGGCUUUAACCAUAUGUGUUGGCCUAUUUUGAUUAUAGGGUUGUAAAUCCAUUUUAAUUAUGCAUGAAUGUGCUAUGGUAUUACAUGAUGAGUUUAUAAUGAUUAAAGCAUGAAUUUUCCAAGUUUUUCUUAAGUUCUCGGUUUAGUCCCGAACCACCCCAGAUAUAUGUUUUGGGUCUCGUGAACCCAUUUAAGGGACAAGAUUGUAUGUGAAAAGAAAUUUUUUUAAUUAUUUGAGAUUUCAUGGCCCUGUUUAGUAUAGAAGUGUUAGUAAAAUUCAAGUAGCACCUCGAACCCCAUCCCAGCGUCGGAUGCAGGCGAGGGGUGUUACAUGUUCCACCUUAGGGGGAAUCACCUGCGUGAGCGGGAGUAGACGAAGUGGAAGCGAGAAUGUCAGCUUGAGUAACGCAAACAUUGGUGAGAAUCCAAUGCCCCGAAAACCCAAGGGUUCCUCCGCAAAGUUCAUCCAUGGAGGGUGAGUCAGGGCCUAAGAUCAGGCCGAAAGGCGUAGUCGAUGGACAACAGGUAAAUAUUCCUGUACUACCCCUUGUUGGUUCCAAGGGAUGGAGGAGGCUAGGAUAGCACAAAGAUGGUUAUCGGUUCAAGGACACAAGGUGACCCUCUUUUUCAGGGUAAGAAGGGGUAGAGAAAAUGCCCCGAGCCAAUGUUCGAGUACCAGGUGCUACGGCGCUGAAGUAACCCAUGCUAUACUCCCAGGAAAAGCUCGAACAACCUUCAACAAAAGGGUACCUGUACCUGAAACUGACACAGGUGGGUAGGUAGAGAAUACCUAGAGGCGUGAGACAACUCUCUCUAAGGAACUCGAAAAAAUAGCCCCAUAACUUCAGGAGAAGGGGUGCCUCCUUACAAAAGGGGUCGUAGUGACCAGGCUCGGGCGACUGUUUACCAAAAACACAAGUCUCCGCAAAGUCGUAAGACCAUGUAUGGGGGUUGACACCUGCCCAGUGCCGGAAAGUCAAGGAAGUUGGUGACCUGAUGACAAGAGAGCCGAUGACCGAAGCCCCGGUGAAUGGCGGCCGUAACUAUAACGGUCCUAAGGUAGCAAAAUUUCUUGUCGGGUAUGUUUUGACCCACACGAAAGGCGUAACGAUCUGGGCACUGUCUCGAAGAGAGGCUCAAUCAAAUAGACAUGUCUGUGAAGAUGCGGACUACCCGCACUUGGACAGAAAGACCCUAUGAAGCUUCACUGUUCCCUGGGAUUGGCUUUGGACUUUUACUGCAUAGCUUAGGUAGAAGGAGAAGAAGGCCUCCUUCCGGGAGGGCCCGAGCCAUUAGUGAGAUACCACUCUGGAAGAGCUAGAAUUCUAACCUUGUGUCCAGACCUACAGGCCAAGGGACAGUCUCAAGUAGACAGUUUCUAUGGGGCGUAGGCCUCCCAAAAGGUAACGGAGGCAUGGAAAGGUUUCCUCAGGCCAGACGAAGAUUGGCCCUCGAGUGCAAAGGCAGAAGGGACCUUGACUGCAAGACCUACCCGUCGAGCAGGGAUGAAAUUUGGCCUUAGUGAUCUGACGAUGCCGAGUGGAAGGGUCGUCGCUCAACGGAUAAAAGUUACUCUAGGGAUAAUAGGCUGAUUUUCCCUAAGAGCUCACAUCGACGGGAAGGUUUGGCACCUCAAUGUCGACUCUUCGCCACCUGGGGCUGUAGUAUGUUCCAAGGGUUGGGCUGUUCGCCCAUUAAAACGGUACGUGAGCUGGGUUCAGAACGUCGUGAGACAGUUCGGUCCAUAUCUGGUGUGGGCGUUAGAGCAUUGAGAGGACCUUUCCCUAGUAUGAGAGGACCGAGAAGGACGCACCUCUGGUGUACCAGUUAUCGUGCCCACGGUAAAUGCUCCAAGUGCGGAGUGGAUAACUGCUGAAAGCAUCUAAGUAGUAAGCCCACCCCAAGAUGAGUGCUCUCCUAUCCUGACUUCCCAAGAGCCUCCGUAGCACAGCCGAGAUGGUAAGGGGUUUUCUAUCCCUGCGAGGACCGAGUGACAGAAGUUUUGAGAAUUCAAGAGAAGGUCACAGCGAGACGAGCUGUUUAUCAUUACGAUAGGUGUCAAGUGGAAGUGCAGUGAUGUACGCAGCUGAGGCAUCCUAACAGACCGGUAGACUUGAACCU
rnacentral:rRNA from 1 species